AUAAAACCGUUGAUUAAGAAGAGUAGGCUUGGAAUUGUAUUUCACAGAGAGUGUCGUAUUGGUGUGAGCGGCGCAAAUGCAACCGGAUCGAAUGGACUUAUGAGGGCAGGACGAAAGGGUUUUCGAGUAGUGCCUGACGGGGUUCGCCCGUUAAAGCGAUAGCAUAUAUUUGUAUGCGAAAAGAGGACAGGAAACUGUCAAAUUGGGUGGUACCGCAGAAGUUAUACGACUUUUGUCCCAGUA
rnacentral:ncRNA from 1 species